UAUGCUCUCUCUUAUUUUUAUAAAUUUUCUUUUUAAGAACCUGAGCCUUUUACCCUGUAAUGUUCCCCAUGGUCUGGAUUUUGCUGAUUGCAUAUUCAAGAAACAGUUCGAUGUGUUCCUCUGAGCUCUGUAUUUCCUGCAAAUUGGUAGCUGGAUCCAAAGGCUUGAUUAGACUUAAGUUUGAUCCCUUUGGCAUGACUAUAGAUGGUGGUGUGUUUUUCAUCAGGAGGCACAUAAUGUCUGCUCGUCUCCCUUUUUGUGAUGCGAGCAGCUGUUGAUGUUCAAUGCCUGGAUCUAUUAAAUCACUGGGGGUUGCAAAUGGCGAUGUUCUAAUUCCAUCAUUUCUUUUUUCAUUUAUUAGUUGGAAUACUUCCAUAAAGAGAUGUUUCCUUGCAUCUACGAUUUGGUUACCCAGUGGUAUAGUUUCUAAAGAAAAGGCAGGAUGAAUCCUUGAUUGUCUUAUUUAUCAGUCUUCAAGAUAACGAAUAGAUGCCUUUCAUUCUCCGAUAGAGACCAGUUUUUUUUUUUUUUUUCCAAAUAGCAUUAGGAAUCCAUGGAUUUAAAUAUAAUUGAUCUAAAUGUAUCUGUACAACUAUUAUUCUUAUUAAAUAACAAAAUGUUCCAUCUUUGGCAGUGGGAACUUCCUCAAUUUGUUCCUGAGUCCUGCCGACCUGACCCUAGUGGUCCUUGAUAUCUUUCCCACUCUCUGCUACGACAAGAUACUCCAGGCUCACCUUAUAUACCUCCUGCCCCGGACCUGAAAUCAGCCAUUCCUCCAAGCAGCCCUGACUUCUUUUUAGUGGGAUAUGGUGCUGAAGAUGCUCAUUGCUACUUUACAACGUUAGUCAUUGCUUUUAGUCCUUUUAGUGGACAGAGAUGAGGCGUUAAUGAGGGGAAAAAACCUAUAUACAGCCAAUUCUGCUAUAACGCUUGUUUUGAAAAUGCAAAUUCGUUCAAAUACAAUUGGUAUAUUAAGGAACAAUGUGGAGUUCCCGUCGUGGCGCAGUGGUUAACGAAUCUGACUAGGAACCAUGAGGUUGCGGGUUCGGUCCCUGCCCUUGCUCAGUGGGUUAACGAUCCGGCGUUGCCGUGAGCUGUNUGGUGUAGGUUGCAGACGUGGCUCGGAGCCCGCGUUGCUGUGGCUCUGGCGUAGGCCAGUGGCUACAGCUCCGAUUCGACCCCUAGCCUUGGAAUCUCCAUAUGCCGUGGGAGCAGCCCAAAGAAAUAGCAAAAAGACAAAAAAAAAACAAAAACAAAAA
rnacentral:lncRNA from 1 species